rnacentral:rRNA from 1 species
UGGGGAAUCUUUCGCAAUGGGCGAAAGCCUGACGCAGCAACGCCGCGUGCGGGAAGAAGGCUUUCGGGCUGUAAACCGCUUUCAGCAGGAACGAAAAUGACGGUACCUGCAGAAGAAGGAGCGGCCAACUAUGUGCCAGCAGCCGCGGUGAUACAUAGGCUUCAAGCGUUGUCCGGAUUUAUUGGGCGUAAAGAGUUCGUAGGCGGUCGAGUAAGUCGGGUGUGAAAAUUCUGGGCUCAACCCAGAGACGCCACCCGAUACUGCUUAACUUGAGUGCGAUAGGGGAGUGGGGAAUUCCUAGUGUAGCGGUGAAAUGCGCAGAUAUUAGGAGGAACACCGGUGGCGAAGGCGCCACUCUGGAUCGACACUGACGCUGAGGAAAGAAAGCAUGGGUAGCAAACAGG